rnacentral:tRNA from 1 species
CAAUUUAGAGCUUGAAUAAGCAUUUUAUUUACAUUAAAAAGAUAACUUUAUAGUUUAAAUUGA